UUUUUCCCCCCCCCCCUCACACCAUGGAAGCUGGCAACGCCCGAAGUCAUUACUCCAACCAUUCGUGGGGGAGGAUGCCUAAGGCAGUGCUGGUGACUGGGGUGAAGUCGUAACAAGGUAGCCGUACCGGAAGGUGUGGCUGGAUCACCUCCUUUUAGGGAGACCUACCCAACUUUGAGAUCGAGGACAAAGAGUUAAUAGAUACAAAGAUGGUCAUUCCUAGGUCGGUCGCAGGGACUUGUUGAAGCUUUCAAACUAUGAUUUGGUUCUUUUGGGCUAUUAGCUCAGGUGGUUAGAGCGCACCCCUGAUAAGGGUGAGGUCCCUGGUUCGAGUCCAGGAUGGCCCACCUGAAGAGAGUUAAGAGUUUGAGGUUAAGAGUUAAGAGUCAAAAAACUGAUAACUCAUCACUAAAAACUCGUAACUUUUUGUCUGGGGGUUUAGCUCAGUUGGUAGAGCGCCUGCUUUGCAAGCAGGAUGUCAGCGGUUCGAGUCCGCUAACCUCCACCUUAACCACCUUGAGAGCGUCAGCUAUCAAAACAGAGAUAAAAUUCAGCAAUAUGGCGGUUAGCCAGACUGCUGGGUAUAAUCUCAGCCAGAACCUUGAAAACUGCAUAGGAAUGCGAAGCAGGCAGACACAGACAAUGAUUGAAUGUGUAUGCAAAAACAAUAGUGGUCAAGCUAUGGAGAGCUGACGGUGGAUACCAGG
rnacentral:misc_RNA from 1 species